rnacentral:rRNA from 1 species
CACGUAGGCGGAUUUCUAAGUCAGGGGUGAAAUCCUGGAGCUCAACUCCAGAACUGCCUUUGAUACUGGGAAUCUCGAGUCCGGGAGAGGUGAGUGGAACUGCGAGUGUAGAGGUGAAAUUCGUAGAUAUUCGCAAGAACACCAGUGGCGAAGGCGGCUCACUGGCCCGGUACUGACGCUGAGGUGCGAAAGCGUGGGGAGCAAACA